CUAGUUGCAACUACUUAUGUUUCAGAAGUGGAAAAAAGAAAAAACAUAACAUAACAUAGCAUAACAAGAAGUUGGGCAUGGAAGCCUCAAAAAAGGCGGAGCAGCAAUUCAUAAUCGAAUUAAGGGAACGGAUCUUCUUCUACCAAGCGUUUCAAAACUGCCACUAUCACUAUCUCCCCUUCUCUACAAAUCAACAGAUCUUUCUUUCUCCUUUCAGCUCCUUUCAUUGAUUUUCCCUUUCUCUUUUUCUUUUUUUUUUUUUUUUUCCCUUUCCUAAGUUGUUCUUUUGUUUUGUUUUUAUUUGGUUGAAGCAGAUCAGCUAAUUGAUUCCUCGAUGCAUUUGUCCCCGAGGUUUCCCAGGCAGUGUGACUGCAUAUUAUGUCCCUUUUCAAGUAUGGGACUCUUUGCAGGAAUGUUGAUGGAUCUUCUUUCUCCUUUGUUUCCUUCAGCUUUUAUUUUCAUUGUUUGCUUAGGGAGUUUGUCAAGAUCAUUCACUGGUGUUGCUAGUGGAGCUACCAGAGCUGCCUUGACACAACAUUUUGCCCUCCAAAAUAUACAGCAGAUAUAUCUGCCAAGCCAAGAGACAAUGGCAACAAUGAUUGGCAUGGCAUUGGGAAUGCUUCUUGCUCGCAUUACUACAGAAAACCCACUAGCUAUUUGGUUUUCUUUUCUCUCCCUGACAAUGUUCCAUAUGUAUGCAAAUUACAAAGCUAUCCAGGGCCUUGCUUUAGAUUCACUGAACUUUGAGAGGAGCUCAAUUCUUCUACAACAUUUCAUAUAAAAUGGCCAAGUUCUCUCUCCUAAACAGGUCUCAACCAUGGAGCAUGUUUUGCCUUUAUGGGCCACUUUAAGGUUGUCAAAGAGUGCUAAGCUCCUGCACACAAAUGUAAAAUUAGGGUUAAGGGUUUCCUCUCUUGAUCACAUAGAAAUGGCCAACCUUCUGAAUUCAGCUGGAUCAUUUUACAAGAAAG